CAGCCUGAGAAACGGCUACCACAUCCACGGAAGGCAGCAGGUGCGCAAAUUACCCAAUUCUGACUCAGAGAGGUAGUGACGAGAAAUAACGAUUGGCAGCUCAUCGAGUCGUCUAUUCGGAAUGAGAACAAUAUAAAUCCAUUAUCCAGCAACAAGUGGAGGGCAAGCCUGGUGC
rnacentral:rRNA from 1 species